UGUUAGGAUUAAAGGCUUGCACAACCACCACCACCUGGCAUUGGUUUUUUCACAAUACCCAAUAAACUUAUAAAUCUCAAAGUACAGGAAAUUCAUAUACUAAUCUUGAGAUCUUGAGAAAUCUUAGUAAACAUUUUAGGCAGUUUAAUGAAACUAGUAGUCUAAUUGGUUUUAGCUGUUCUGCCUUGCUUUUUUUCCCCUACCACAAAGUCAGAAACUUUACAACUCCAGAGCCAGCUUUUUAAUACAGAAGAACAACAUAAAAUAAUAUUUCAAUAUUAUCAUUACCCCAAAAGACAUUUGGAUUCCUGCUAAACUGAUUUACAGUGACCAAAAAGCUCAGAGGUAAGGAAUUCUGAACCCUGGCUAUCAAAGUAGCCAUGGCACAUAGAGGCAGUGGAUUUGGGCCAGGGAGGUGGGAGUACACAAAGCUGCCCUGAUUUAUCAGGACUUCUUGAGGAAGACAGGAUGCCAGGCUCCUUGAGGCUGACAAAUGACCCUACAGUAGGAGAGGAGAGUGGCAGGCAGGCGGACAUGUAUGAAGGUCCCAGAAGACUCUCUGAGGACGUUUUAGAUUUCUUAAUUUCCUUUCUUCAUUUCAGAGCAGUCUCAUUUCUCUUGAUGGUAAGUUUCUUCUCUAGCCUGCCUGGACAUCUAUCCUGCCCCUCCGCAAGCAGAUAGAGCCCCACCCCAAAAUGAACAGAUUGAGGCUCAGACAAGACUUGCUUCCUCCAUUGCAGGUACUGCCAAUGCUGAGGGCAUUCUGUACUGUUGGCUGAGCUCUGCAGUGCCACCAGAACAUUUCUGUCCAGGAUUUGGCUUUAUUACCUAGAUAGGACAGGCUGAGGUCCAGGGUGCAGUCUGUGGGCUGGAGUAUGAGAGACAGCAGCUGCUGGCCAGCCUCUUUUUAACAAGUAUUUGUAUGUUUAACGCUCAUGUGAUGGCCCUUCUCCUCCCUGCCCCUGCUUUCAUCCACCUGUUCUCCCCAAGGUUUAAUCAAGAAUACUUAUCAGAGUGGCACAGCCUUAGCUUUCAAAGGUCAACUCCCAAAAUGGGCUAGAUGAAAACCUUAGACUGAGCACGGACUACCAAGAACUAGAUGUCAAUACCAGAGUCAGCCUUCGUGCCAAGGACUCUGCUUCAGUUUAGGAAAUCUGUCUAGCUCCAACUGCCCUUCUUUCUUUGGAGUUGGCCUCACCAUUCUGGUGAGAUAGCUUGAACCAUCUCCAAAGGGAUUAUGCAGGGCUUAGAAUAGAUCUCAAGGGCUGGCCUGGAGCUAGAAUGAGAGACCCCUUUCUAGAACUUCUUGAAUGCUUAGUUUUAACAGAACACACGUAGGAACUCUAUGGAAGGCAUAGUAGAGGCUUGCCUCUAUGAGCUUAAGCUAUAGGGAGGACUGACCCCUAGACAGGGAUGCAGCUCUGUGAUAAGAGUACUUGAAGGGAAGAUUUCCCAAAGGCAGAGCCAUUGUUGCUUCUUGAAGAGAGAUUUUGGUAUGUGUUGGAAAAGAAUACAGAUGGAUUUAAAAUUCAGGCUGGGCAGGGCAGUGGUGGUAACACCUUUACUCCCAGCACUUAGGAGGCAGAGGCAGGCAGGCUAGAGAGCUCUAAGACCUCCUGUGAGCUAGCGCUGACUGUCCCUUUUCUGAAGAUAGGAGGUAUCCAUGGGAUACUGUGAGAACCUUGACAGGGGCUUGUCAGAGUGGCAUCUGUACCAUGCUAGCCACUGCUUUUCCAGUACACCUAGAAAGAGUGGCAGUGGAGCAGGGCAGUCUGUGUGGCGGCGCUGUGAGCCUGCUGCUGCUCGGACUGUGGCUGAGCUGACAGUGCUGCUGCACGUGUCCAGGCUUCCGCUGCUGUUGCUCAGAAACUCACAUUGCUGAAUUCUUUUAUUUCCCAUACUAUGUUAAUUUGAGCAAACCAAAAAUUGAACUUUAUCUAAUAUUUUUAAAUUCCCAGAAAAGUAUGUUUAUAUUUUGUGUAAUGGUGUUGUUUAGAAGAUGGGAACUAUUUCUUUGGAUUAAACAAUUUGAAAUUUGAUUAUCUGUGGCCCUAAUUAGUUUACUGGGGCAGAGGUGAGUGUUUAUGGAAUAGUAAUAGGGUAUAUUUGUAACAGUCCAUCCUCCAUCCCCACCCCAGGAGUAUGGAAAGAAAGAGAUCUCCUGGGCCUAGCAAUAGCUUCCAUAUUUCCAGAACACCUUGAUUCGACUUCUCUGGUUUCUCCUCUCCUGCGUUUGCUAGCUCUGCUUUAGACAGAGGAGCAGAGGUUGUUUACUGUCUCUCAUGCUGAGAGUUAAGAAGAUACAGGAGUUUUAGUCUAGUAAUUGGGUAGAGAAGAAAACCUGCUUUUGCUCCCCCACCCCCACCCCCCUUAAGUUAAGUUCUGUUGUGUACAUUGUUUGCUCUCAGCUACAUAUAGAGAACUGGAGAGCAAGCCAGCCUGGACUGUAUGACACUGCCUCAAAACAAACAAACGUAGGCCAGUGGAGAGAUAACCUAAAACACUAUCAUAUGCUGAGGACCGCGAGAGGACAAAGUAAUGUGGCAUUUGGAGGCUGUGGAUGUGAAGGGAAGCACUCCUCAGGUAGACUAGACUCAAGUCUCUCCAGGCUGGCUGUCUUCCUCUGUUUUCUACAUUUUGUCUUGGAUUUAGAUCCACACAGUGGGGUAGGUGGCUCUCUCUGCAGGGUGAUUAGAAUUGUUUGGCUUCAAAUCUAGGACUUUCCCCACCAAUUUUAAAACUUUAUCUGACUGUGAUUAAGCCAAUCAGUUAGUGUUUUGGUUUCAUAGUUACUAGACAAAAUGUUCCUUUCUUUCCUCCCUAUUUUUUGCUUGUGUGCAUAUGGUGUGUGUGUCUGCACAGGUUUAGGGAUGUGUGUGGAGGCCAGAGGUGUCCUCCUUAGUUGCUACCUUCUUUAUUUUUGUGUGUGUGUAUGUGCACGUGAGUGUUUGAUGUGUAUGUGGAGGCCAGAGGAUGUCAGGUGUCCUGCUCUACCACGCUAUUCCCUUGAGACAGGGUCUCUUAGUGAACCUGGAGUUAGACUGGUAGUCAGCAAACCCAGCAGUGUUCUUGUGUGUGCCUCCUAUGGUUCUGGGAUUAAGGCUUACACAUGGCCAUGUCCCUGGGUGCUGGCCAUUUGAGCUCAGGUCCUCAUGCUUGUGUAACAAAUACUCUUAACCUUCAGCUUCUACUUGAGCUUUUGAGACAGGGUCUCUCAUAAACAUGGAGUUCACUAAUGGCUAGGCUACGAGUGAGCUCUAGAAAUCUGCUUGUCUUUGCUACUCUAGCACUGGGAUUGUAGACACCAUCAUUCAUUAUUUAUUUAUGAGGGGUCAGGGGGUCUGAACUCAGGCUUCAUACUUGUGCAACAAGAACUUUAUCCAGUGAGCCAUCUCCCUUACCCCACUCUGGUUUUCAUGCUCACAGCUUGUCUUCCUUUUCCCUCAUAGUCUGCCUUUGUUGUCUCCUUUCCUGCCUUGCUAUAAUGGCCUCUAUCUGCAGUUGAGUGGCAGGUGGCAGGGAUGGAUAGAUGGGAUGUAUGUAGCUGAGGGAAUAUUUUCUCAAUUCUGUUAGCAUCAAAGAAAUGACUUCCAAGCCAGUCCUUCCAGCCAUGCAUUUCACUGAUCAGUCAGAAUGAGAGGAAAAACACAUUAGCAUUGCCAGAGAGGGGAUUUGGGGAAAAUCAAGUCUGUGAAACUGAGUGAUCUAAAGUCAUAGCAUUAAAAACAAAUCUUGAAGUGUAGCUGGAACGUUUCCUAGUCUGUCUCCUGUGGCCAGGUCCCUUGAUGGAUACCUGCUGUGCUGUACGGAAUGGUAUGUGCUCAGCCUGGAACAACCUCAGGCUGAAGAGGGGGCACUAGCCUGUGUUGCCUAUCAUUAGACCUUCUGAGUAUGACACAGGGAACCAGCAAUCCCAGAGGGUUAUUUUUCUUUUAAAACAGAGUUAUGUUUUAAUUAUAUGUAUAUGAGUGUGUGCAGCAUGUGCACACAAAGUGCCUGGGGAGGCUAGAAAUAGGUAUGAUCUCCUGACACACGGUCUGCAGGUUAUGUGCUGCCCAGUGGGACUGGGACUGGAACCAGGGUUCUCUGCCAGAGCCCCAAGAGCCUUUUAAGUGAGUUUCAGUUUUAAAGCCUGUGACUUUCCUGGCUCUCCAUAUUUGCAAAGGUCUUGUAAAAUAUAAGCAUUCUCUUGAGUUAAGCAUGCCUUCAUGAUCCUUAUAUUUCCCCUGCCUUACGCGGGUCCAGAGUGAGGACCCUGGAGAACAGCCUCUUUGUCCUAGACUAGCAAUCCCCUUCUUAUUAAGAGAAAGAAACUUUGCGGUUGUGAAGACUAAAACUUAAAUGAAAAUUUUCCCCUUUAGAAAAGAAAAACAAGCCUAACAGUGCCCCCUCCCCUCCUUGGGCGUGAGCAGGGGGCAGCACCUGGGAGUGUUGGCAUUUGGUGGCUGUUGCAGUACUCUGAAUGUCAUAGCUGCCUAGGUUCAUGCUUUGACCUGAGUCUUAGAGCUAUGUAGCCUUGGGCAAGUUACUUAAUUCACCAAGAUCUAAUCAAAUAUAUAAUGAAAUAUUUUUCUCAUUAAAAAGGAGUCUGGUGGUGGAAGAGGGGAGAUUGCUCAGCAGUUAAGAGCACUUACUGAUCUUGCAGAAAACCCAAGUUCAGUUCCUAGCACUCACAUCAGGUAGCUCAGAACUUCCUAUAACUCCAUUUCCAGGGUAUCCUACUCCCUCUUUUUGCUUCUGUGGGCACCUGUAUGUGUGUGGUACAUAUAAACUCAUUUGUCACCCCUCCACACACAGAUACACACAAAAGUAAGAAUAUUCUUUUAAUAGAAAGAUGCCCAUCUAUAAAAUGCAGUGAAAAAUCAACUAAUAUUUAUUGAGAAAAUAAUAUGAAUAUGGCAUUAUAGUAAAUACUUAAUAUUUCCAAAAUAGAUAUUAACUUCUCUUGUUUCUAUUGUGUUAAAAUUGGGUAGCUAUCAGACAAAUUAAAAUUGAGGCAAGAGCUGAAAGGGUGGCUCAGUGGUACAGCACUUGCCCGGUUCAACACUGUAGAAUAACAGAUUCCAGGGUAUAAUCUGAAAACAACUGGUAAGUACUCGUCAAGUCAAGCAUGACAGACACUGCCGUGUGUAGGUUAAGAAUAUCAAGUGUGAGAACUGUGAGGGAGGUGUAGUGGCAACCACCUUUAAUCCCAGCACUCAGGAGGCAGAGGCAGGCAGUGUCUCAAAAAACAAAACAAGGAGGUAGGGGUGAGGAGAGGUGGGAGGGAGAGGUGUAAAUAUGGGGCUGCAGAGAUGGCCCAGUGUUAGGAAACAUGCUGAGCAUCCAUGAGGACUUGAGUUCAGAUCCCAUCACCCAUGUGACAAGCCCGGUGUCCCACAGAUGUCUGUAACUCCAGUUCUGAGGGAUCUAGUACCAUCUUUCGAUAAAUGUGCAUGUAUAGGCGUGUCCACCUGCACACAUGGAGAGGCAUACAUUCACACGGGCACAUACACAUACGAAUAAAUAUAAAUCUUACAACGUGUCAGACACUGAGAACUGUCACAGGCUGGAGGAUACUAAGAAGACAAGAAAACUAAAUGCAGUGUCAUAUCUUAGAUGACAUUCUGGGACAGAAAAAAAGUGGACAAUUGGUGAAAUCCUAGCAUCCUACUGCUCUAUCAGUAGUAAUUUCUUAGAUUUGGAAAUUGAUUUAUAGCUAUGUAAGAUAUUACUAUCAGGGGAAUCAGGUGAAGGGUGUGUGAUAACUGUACUUUUUUUUUCUGCUACUUUUCUGGAAGUCCAAAAUUCCUUCAGAAUAAAAAGCUAAAGUACAGUAAGUGCAUGUCUAGGAUACCUAUUUGGUGAAAAAGGAAUAGACCACAACGUAGCCUAGUGUAGCAAAUGACCUCUGAUUCCAUCUCAUUCCCUAUGGCAGAGUGAGGGCCAUUACCAGCCUCUUUUGUGCCUGUGCAUCUCCAGUAUCCUUAGGAGAUGGCUACUCUAGGCAGGUGAUUGGUCAGAUAGCAAUGCAGACAAGCACCUCGUUCUGAUCUGGUAGCCGUGCUGUACGUCUGCUGGUGAGGAGGGCGUUCAUUUAGUAUUAGAACUCUGCAGAUCUGAGUGAUCAGGGCAAUCCCCUAAGUCCCUUGAUAUAAUUUAAAUUCUGCCUGUUUUAUCCCUCUGUCUGAGCACCCAGUCACUAUGGCAAUAUGUUUGCAGAUUGCAGCUCCUACCCCACGCUCACUGUGUUUGAUCAUCCAGAAGAAAGAAAGAUAAGUUCAAAUCCAGCUUUGCAAUAAUUUAUUUUCUUUCCUUUCCUGUUUUAAGUGCCUUGCUCUUUCACGAAGCAGGUGUUUGCUGCUUUUCUUGAGUGCAGAAGCUACGUGUGCUCUUCUUAAGACUGAUGUGGCCAUCUCUGUCACACUAAUAACAGGGUGUGUAGAAGAACACCAUUAUUAGCGUUGGGAGAAUGUUCUCUUCAGUCAGGAUUGACCUCUGGUAGCUAGACAGCUUCCUAUAUCUUCGGGGCUUCAUUGGUGGACUCACGUUAACAGCUGAAGUCUGGAGGUAUUUGUGUGCUCGUCAUGUGUUGUGGUAAGUGCAGUGACGGUGUAGCAGAAUGCUUUGGCCCACUUGGGAACCAGUCUUACCACCAGCCACUCCAGGGUCUGAUUUCCAGUGUCCUUGUUCUUCUUAGGGUGUUGACAUGGCAAGGUCACGAGGCCUUGUGUUGGAUGUGAGUGAGCUGCUGCUGAUAUUGGGUUCUUCCUGUGAGUUCUUCUGACGCAGGACCAGGUGUGGUAUUUUUCAUCAGAGCCACUGGCAAGCGCCUGUUGAAACAACAUGCGUGUGGUUAGGUCAGCACAGUGGACAUACCAAAUUAGAUUUUCCUCCUCCUCACUGGCUUCUAUAGGAUUUCUUCCCAUUUCUGGCCUCAGCUAACUGACUUACUCCAGGUUCUGGAGGCUUCCUAGCCCUGCAGUAAGUCUCAUUUGGCAAUGACACUAUCUUUUAUAGGGAUGCAGUUAUUGAAUGCCUUUGAAAUGAACUUUACAGAUAUUCUAAGUGCUCAUGGGAGGCUCUUCCCUUCCCUGGUAUAAUACCUAUGCUUCUUCCUAUAUGAAUUACUAUGUUUUUCAUUCUAAACAUGGUUGGCAGUGACUUGGGGGAUGGAAGCGGGGAUUUGCUUUCUUCUGCACCAGGAGUGAAGUAUGUCUAAUUUCAUUUUCAUACUCUGUUUCUGAGCGGAACCCAGUCCUCUGUGUCCAUGUUUAGUACUGCUGUGUUGCUGGACUCUCCUAGCAAAAAUUAGGCUAAUGUCUCCAACGACUACAUUAGGCAGCAAAAUGAGGUUCUAAAUUGUAGGUACUAUACCAAGGCUCUCUCCAAGGCAUAGCCUUGUUCUGGUUUUUAUUAUUCAAAUUCAUUCUCUCAAUGAUUCUCUGCAGACUGACUGGCAUACUGGUUCAGUGCAGUGCAUUAUACUAGCUGAAAGGCAAGAUCACCUUUUUAGAAGAGGGAGAAAAAAAAGAAAAAAGCAAAAGAUGAAUCCUGUGGUGCUCAGAGUCAGCACUAAUCUAGUCUAAGCUUCUAGUGGGUCUUUGUGAUGCCUAGGAGGCAGAAGAGAAGUGCCCAAUCCUAGAUCGCGGCCAGGGAGGCAUUGAGUGGGGCAGCAGCAUUGUACCAGUGAUACCUGCUGUCUGUUUGUGGCACCUUCUUUCCAUCUCUGUAUAUUUGCCACUAGGGUAUAUGAUUAGCUGGGUGUUGGGUAUCGGAAUUCAAAGUCACAGGUCUGAGGAUCUUGCCCAUCAGGAGCUAUAGUCCUGGAAAUUCACCAGUUGCUUCUGUCUUGGCUGUGGGGUUAUGUGGGGAGGGCACAGGGGUAAGUGGGAGCUGUGAGAGGGGGCUGUGCUGGGGCCAAGUCUUAGGAUGCUUGCAUUUUAUACAUGAAGUAGGAGCCUCUUGGCAGUUGGAUACCUAGAGAGUUGAAAACUUGGCUCUUAUAUGUUUGUUUCUUAAAAUGACUCUCUUCCACCCCCAGUGAGGAAAAAGUAGUAAGUAUUCAAAGCAGAAAACUUAGAAAACAGAAAAACACAAAGAGAAACUUAACAAAACAACAGCGAGUUGCCCAAGUCCUACUGUACAGCUGUAAAAUGAACACUUUGGCACUGUUGCUCCACUGUGUUUACCAGCAUUCUCCCAUUCUGAGCUUACUGUUGUAAGGCUGGUGCCUUCCUUUCAUGGACGAAGAGCGGUUUAAGCCAAGCUUGAUGGUAUCCGUCUAAUCUUGGCACCUGGGAGGCUGCCAGAGGAUCAUUCAUGAGCUUGAGCUCAGCCUGGGCUAGCUACAUAGUAAGUUCCUACCCAUCCUAGGCUACAAAGCAAGAUCCUGUUUUACAAAAAAAAAAAAGAAAAAGAAAAAAAAGAAAAAAAAAGAAAAACAAAGAAAGAAAGAAUGAAAGAAGGAAGGAAAGGAAGGAAGGAAAGGGAAAAAGAAUAGACAGAAAGAAAAAAUGAAAGAAAGCAAAGAAGAAAAGAGGAAGAAAGCAGGGGCUAGUGGCAGAGCUCAGUUGAGUGCUUAUCUCAUAUGCACAGCCCUGGGUUUAAUCCUUAGCACCACAUAAACUGGGCAUGGUGAUGCAUACCCGUAAUCUCAACACCAACAGGGGCUGGAAGUUCAAGACCAUCCUCCGCUAAAUAAUAAGUUCCAGGCCAGUCUGGGUUACAUGAAAUUCUAUUUCUAAAUGGAUGAAUAAAUGAAGGAAUGAAUGAUGAAGGCUAGUCUGGGCUACAUGAGAUUCUAUUUCUUAAUGAGUGAGUAAAUGAAUGAAUGAAUGAAUGAAUAACAAAACAAGGGCUGGCUAGAAUGCGUAGUAGGUUAAUGCUCUUGGUGACAAGUCUGAUAAUCUGAGUUCAGUUCCUGGGACCCAUAUGGUGGAAGGAGAGAACCAACUCCUGCAAGUUGUCCUCUGACCCAGGCCAUGGACUAGCAACCCUGCAUAAAUAAAUAAACGUAAUAGUAUGACAGAAGAGGUUUUUUGUUUGCUUGUUCUUGUUUGUUUGUUUGUUUGUUUGGAGACAGGGUUUCUCUGGCUGUCCUGAAACUCCCUCUGUAGACCAGACUGUCCUCUAACUCAGAUUCAUCUGCCUCUGCCUCCCACGUGCUGGGAUUAAGUGCCCCCCCACCACUACAUAGCAAGAGAGAUUUUUUUUUAAAUUUGUGUGUGUGCACACUCAUGCAAACACACACACACACACACACACACACACACACACACACACACAUGCAUAGACACACACAUGCACACAUGCAUACACACAUACCACCUGUGUGUGGUUAUCUGAGGAAGCUAGGAGAGGGUGUCAGAUUGUGUGGAGCUGGAGUCACAGGUAAGCAACAGGAAUGCUGGGACUCAAACUCCAGAGCUCUGCAGUAGCAGCAGAAGUCACCCAUUACCAUUGCUAAGCCAUCUCUCCAUUCCCGAGACAGAGAGUCUUGAAGGCUAGGGCCUCCGGUGUGUGAUUAAGUCUGUGGUGGGCAUUUUCUGGGUGUAGGAAUUCUUAGUGACAUUCUUAUAUAUAUUUUCAUAUAUUCUCUAAGUUCUUAGAAAGGGAAUACAAAAGUAGAAGCACUCGUAUUUUCCAAUUUUUUUUUUUUGGCGGGGGCGGGGGUGGCCUGGUAUCUCAACAGGGUAACAUCUUUUCAGAGCUGCGCAUGUAUCGGGCACACACAAGGUUUUGAGUAUUUCUCAGCCUGUUUUGCAUCACACAUCGGACUCCUUGAGAUACAGUCUCUUUAUAGUCCCUGGAUUGUUCUGGUUUGACUGGGAAACAGCCGGCUUCUAAUGAGUCAGGGCAGCAAGUGCAAAACACAUAUCCUUACUGUCUUGUGCCAAGAUUGUAAUGUCCCUGGGGACAGAGACAUUGUCAUCAACCUAUUUGUCUGUAAACAGUUAUUGAAUGACUGUAUAGUCAGAGGGGAAGAUACAAAGAAGGCCCCUGCCACAUACAAGUUUUGAUGUCUGGAUAAGAGAGUUGACAUGAAGCCUCAUUAUUUGUGAGCACUCACUAUGGGUCGAGAACUAACUGAGAUGUGGUUGAGGGGAGGGAGGAUGAUGGCACAGAGAAGGCUGCUUUCCUCUUCCUCCUCCUCGUCGUCUCUCCCUCUCCCUUUCUUUCUUCUCUCCCUCUAGUUUUAGGUAAAGUUCACUAGCCAUAUAGGGUACUAAGUGACAUAUAGACACAAAUGCUAUAGGGUUGGUUAUAGGCAUUGUGGCACUAAGGCUAUUUUGGAAAGGAAGCUCAUUGUACUAGAUAAAUUUCAGAGAGAAGAUAGGACAAUAGUUGUGGCCUAAAAAUAGCUGGAAUUUGAUGAAGUGGAGUGGAGAGGGUUUUCCAUGUGCGUGAUGGCAGUAAUGAUUGUUUAAUAAUGACUGCCAGCUGUAGAGCAUGUGGAGCAGAGAGAGGGUGCAGGGUUGUAAGGGACCAGAGAAAGAAGAGGUGCAUAUCGGAAGCACUCAGACUUCAGAACCCAUAGCUGUAGCGAGAAGAAAGCUCCAACUUUGUCAUUGAUCAAAGCUUCAGUUUCUCGAAGAACCACAGUGCCUCCAGGCCCAUCCUUGGACUUUGUCUACCUUUAUCUGUUCAUACUGUGUCCUUGGUGAGCUCAGCUAGCCAGACAUAUCUUUAUGUCUGUAUGCUGAUGACUCCCAAUUUAUUUGUUUAUCUUCAAAUCUCUAAGCCUGACUUCUCUGAACUCGAGAUCUCUCUGCCUACUAUACAAUUUCUACUUGAGUGAGUGAUUAAAAUUUAUUGUUUCUAUAGCUGAAUUCCUGUAACUUUCCCCACUUCAGUUAAGGCAAGUCUCCAUUCUGUCAAUUAUCACAUCAGAAGUUUUGCAGCCAUUCUCUGUUCUUUCUCUAACUUCUGAAAGCAAAUCCUGAAAACUGUCUUCAAAAUAUAUCCCAAAUUUGACUGAUUCUCAUCACUCUAAAUAGCUACCAUCGUCUCUUACCUGCUUAUUAUGGUCGACUCCAUUCUGGCCCUCCUCCUUCCCUUAUUGCCAACAGUCAAUUCUCAGCACAGUAGCCAGUGGUCCUGUUGCUUUAUUUCCUGUGCUGAAAAAUACCCUUUGAUGCUCCUUCUUACAUAAAGAAUAAGCCCAUCCCUGGUCUACGACAUCCACUGAUGUGGGCUCUACCUCACCAUUACCUCUGUAAUUUAAUUUGGUAAUACCCUUCCAUUCCCUGUCCUCUAGUUACCUUGGCUCCCUCAUGUCUCUUGCGCAUACCCAGCCUAUCAACCUUGAGAUAUACAGCAAUCCUUCCCUACAUAGCCCUGUGCCUGGCUCCCUCAUCUCCUUUAGGUCUUCACUCAGAAAAGACGUAUUCUAGUAGCAGAAACUGGACUGAGUUUCAGAACAGAGUAACCAAGGUAGUUGUAUAAGUCUGUUUUCUGUUAAGUAACUAUGGCAAAAUACGUAAACCUUGGACUGGCAAGAUGGCUCACUGGGUAAAGAACCGUGCCACCAAGCUGAUGACUUGAGUUUGAUUUCUAGGACCUACAUGAUAGAAAGAGAGAGAAUUGAUUCCUGCAGGUUGUCUUGUGACUUCCACAUACAUACUGCAGCAUGCACACAGCUCCUCCAUAAGAUAAAAUGUAAUGGAGGGGAAAUUCUUUAAAAGAAGCUUAUUUUUAAGAAAGAAAUUUAACCAGGUGUGGUUGUACACACCUAUAAUCAUAGUAUGUUAUUGGUGGAGGUUGGAGACCUGGAGUUUUAAAGCAAUCUUUCCUUGGUCUACAAUGCAAAUUUGAGGCCACUCUGGGCUUCAUGAGACCCUGUAUUAAGACUUGAAAACUAAAAAAAAAAAAAAAAAAAAAAAAAAAAAAAAAAAAAAAAAAAAAAAAAUUAAAAGCCAAAACCAAUUUAGGCUUGUAGUUUGGAAGUUCAAGGUCAUUGCUUUGACAUCAGCUCUGUUCUGGUAAAGACCUCAUGAAGGAUUGAAGUAGCUGUGAGUGGGUGAGGCCCUCUGGCAAGACAGGAGAUCAGGGAACAGAAAGGGGCAGUUCUGUACUUUUAUAGCAACCAUCUAGCUAGGGUCCCAAGAGAACAAUAUUAACUCCUUCCUCAGUCAGCCCUCCAAGUUAUGAUAGCCACCCUGCCUCUUAGAGAUCUCACUAUCUCUUAGCACUCCUACUGGGGGCCAGGCUGACAGCUUAUCCUCAGCUUUUGGGGAACUUUUAAAAAUAAGGUCUUGCUAUGUAGCUGAGGCUGGUGUAAAACUUACUAUGUAGUCUAGGCUGGCCUCAGACCUGUGAUCCUCCUGGGGCUGAGGUGGCAUGUCAAGAGUUACGGUUUUGUUGCAGUCAAAGAAGUGUAAUGCCCCUAUAAAAUGUGUCCUUCAUGACUUAAAGCAGUAGGGAGUUGUGGCAACACUGAACUUGGGGCAGUUGGUGAAUGGGAGGUAGGGUUAUUUGAUGAGGUUAUGGGAGAGGCUGUAGGAUCAGGUGUGAGUUAGUCCCAGGAUGAACACAAAGUAGCCAGGUUGGUGACCUUAAGAAGCUGGUAGCUGACUGAGGGAGAAGAUGAAAUGAUAGGUUUGUAUUAUUUAGGAGAGGGGAUGUUAAAGAGGUUACAGCCUUGGAGGAAACAUCUAUAUCCAAUCAGGUAGAGUCGAAUACAGCUGCCAGGUUGAAGGCUCAAUCUUCUGGAAUUGGGGACAAGGUGACUGAUCUCGGUGUCCUCUGAAACUUAAGGGAUCGGGGUUGUUGGAGUUGAUAUGUAGGAAAGGAAGUUGUCUUGAGGCAAAGGAGUGAAGGUAGGAUAGGUGGAUCCAUUGAGGGAGGCCCUCAAACUUAGUAGCUGUGGGGAUACAAGAAUUACCUUAAAGGGGCCCUGCCAUUUAAGAGAAAAGGAUGAAGGGUGAUGGUCUGGAGAAAAGAGAAGGUCCUGAUCACCAAUGUUGACUGGCGAUAGACAUGAGUUGGCAUAUAGUCGGGGUUGGUAGUAGUCAGUACAUUUCCACAGGAGGAGGAGAGAUGACCAAGUAAGAGAGUGAGCAGGUGAUCAGGGAGAGGAGAGGGUUUGGAUGAUGACCACUGAUCAUCUAUCUAUACCUGAGCUCAAAUGGCAAUGAUGAAAAGAGGUCGCUUGUUGAGAGCCUGAGAAGGAAGGGCCAGUGGUAGGAGUUUUACCCACCUGAGGUGAAGUUCAUGUGAGAGUUUGACAAGAGUGGUUUUGUUUUUUUGUUUUGCUUGUUUUUGGUUUUGGUUUUGGUUUUUUGAGACAGGGUUUCUCUGUAUAGCCCUGGCUGUCCUGGAACUCUGUAGACCAGGCUGGCCUCGAACUCAGAAAUCCACCUGCCUCUGCCUCCCGAGUGCUGGGAUUAAAGGCCACCACGCCUGGCUGACAAGAGUGUUUUUAAAGGAGCCGUUAGUUUGUUCUAUCUUGCCUGAGGACUAGGGAUGGAAUGGAAUAUAGAAAUGCCAAAGGAUGUUGAGAGUUUUAAAUAGGGCUUGGGAAAUAUGGGAGAUGAAUUCAGGGCCAUUGUCCAACUGGAGGGAGGUGGGGAAUGAUUUCCUGGGGUAGGAGAUCGGAGACUGUCUGGACUGUCUGAGCCUUUUUGUUGGUAGUGGGGAAUGCUUUUGUCCAUCCUGAGAAGGUAUCCUCCUCCAAGACCAGGAGGAACCUGAUGUGUUUGCUUGUGGGCAUGUUGAUAAGGUCAAGUUGUUAGUAGGUUCUGAGAGAGUGCCUCUGACCUGGUGAGUAGAAAAAGGGGGCUGUGAUAACUGGAGUUGGGGGUCUAAUAUUUGACAGAUUUUAUAAGAGAUAGUAGUAAUUGCCCUUAAGAAAUGCAAAUCCUUAGGGGUGGGCUACAGACAGGGCCUUAAAGAAGUGAGACAGCCUCAGCUAUUAGGGCAAAAGGGCUGGAGCAGAUAGGGCAGAAAAUUUUGAGUGUCAGAAGGUGAUAGUGGAGGUGUGGGUUAUAACACAAGGAUGUCCUGUUGUGGGUUAAAUGGAUCCAGGCCUCCAAGGGCUGCAGCUCUAGCCACCUCAUUUGCUCAGUUAUUUCCCUUAGAGAUGAUGGAAUUCUCAGUCUUGUGGGACCGGCAGAACACAGUUUCUAUAGCCUUGGGGAGAUGGGAGGCCAUGAUUUAGUCUGAGUUUGUUACUGAUCUUCCUUUUGUUGUAAAUAGUCUGUGCUCUUUCCAGAUGCGGUAUGGGACAGGAGGACGUGAAAGGCAUAUCUAGAGUCUGAGUAGAUGUUUAGGGAUUGUCUAUGUGCCAUUUGGAAGGCACGGGUGAGAACUCUUAGUUCAUCCUGUUGAUAAGUUGUGUGGGCAGGAGGGCUGUACCUUAGCUCAGCCACCUCAAUCUCUGACACUAUGGCAUAGCCUGCUUUUCAGGCCCCAUUGUGUGAAAAGGAGCUGCCAUCUAAAUGCCAGGUAGAGAUGGCCUGAGGCAGUGUACCCUCCUGUAUGUUCUAGGGAUGGGGUAGUAGUUCCUUUAAGAUUUCAAUGCAAGAAUGAGAUGAGGAAUGGUAUGUUAUUGGUCAGGGAAGAAGAAUUUAGAAGUUGAGGCGUGGGCACCAUUGGAAAGUAAGUGUGGCAUUUUCUUCUAGUGCCAAUGGAGGAGAACCCAAGAGAGAAGUGGAGUUUGUAAGCCUUUAUACAUUAGGAGGUAAGACAGGUUGUGAGAGGAGACGAUAGCAGUAGGUGACCUAUUAGGAUUCAUGAAUAAGGAGCUCAGCAGCUGUGAAAGUGCGUACACAGGGUGACCAUCUCUGGGUGGUAAGGUCUAAUUCUUUUUGAUAGGUGUGCCAUGGGUGCAAAGGAAGGUUCUAGUUGGUGGCUUAAGACCCUGCCUUAGUGUUUCAUUGCUGUGAAGAGACACCAUGACCAAGGCAACUCUUAUAAAGGACAAUGUUUAAUUGGGGCUGGCUUACAGUUUCAGAGGUUCAGUCCAUUAUCAUCAUGGUGGGAAGCAUGGCGGCAUCCAGGCAGACAUGAUACUGGAAGAGCCGAGAAUUUUAUGUCUUGAUCCAAAAGCGGCCAGAAGACCUGAAUCACACUCACUGGCUAGCAUGAAUAUGAGACCCCCAAAGCCCCACCUCCACAGUGACACACUUCCUCUAACAAGGCUACACCUCCUCCACAAAGGCCACACCUCCUAAUAAUGCCACUUCCUAUGGGCCAAGUAUAUUCAAACUACCACAGACUGAGGGUAUAUCCCUCAUUUUCUGUUAUAUAAA